rnacentral:tRNA from 1 species
GGCGCGAUGGCAGAGUGGUUAUGCAGAGGACUGCAAAUCCUUCCACGUCGGUUCGAUUCCGGCUCGCGCCUCCA